UGACUCACGGUCGAUGGCGGCUUUACCGGAAGCAUCGUGAAGCGCCGCUCGAAAACUUCCCCCUCAAUUUGUAUAGUCACCCUAGCCUAGUCCUUUCUCACUUCCUUUCGAUAGCUGCGUUGGUUCAGGACCGGGCGGAAGUGAUUAUCUGCAAUAUCUUGUGGGUUGUCUGAGGCGCUACUCCUACUUUCCUUUCUUCUCUGGCUUCAGGGCCUUGCAAGUGAGCAAGCUGUAGCAUCAUGUCGAGCCGAGAUGGUGGUAAGAAGAAACCCUUGAAGCAGCCCAAGAAGCAAUCAAAGGAAAUGGAUGAGGAAGAUGUAGCUUUUAAGCAAAAACAAAAGGAGGAGCAGAAGAAACUGGACGAGAUGAAAGCAAAAGCUGCUGGCAAAGGCCCACUAACUGGAGGUGGAAUUAAGAAAUCUGGUAAGAAGUAGCAGAUUUGAUUAGCAUCCGUGACAAGAGAAGUAUUUUACUCCCAUUGGAUGUUUGGCAGUAGGAUGGAUUUCCAGGCUGAUGUUGUGGGAAACAUUAACAUGAGCACCUUUGUACAUUUUGUUCAGACAAAAUAAAUUGCUUUUUUUUUUAAUGUU